AUUGAACGCUGGCGGCAUGCCUUACACAUGCAAGUCGAACGGCAGCACGGGAGCAAUCCUGGUGGCGAGUGGCGAACGGGUGAGUAAAGUAUCGGAACGUGCCCAGUCGUGGGGGAUAACGUAGCGAAAGUUACGCUAAUACCGCAUACGAUCUAUGGAUGAAAGCGGGGGAUCGCAAGACCUCGCGCGAUUGGAGCGGCCGAUAUCAGAUUAGGUAGUUGGUGGGGUAAAGGCUCACCAAGCCGACGAGCGUUAGCUGGGCUGAGAGGACGACCAGCCACACUGGGAAUGAGACACGGCCCAGACUCCUACGGGAGGCAGCAGUGGGGAAUUGUGGACAAUGGGCGAAAGCCUGAUCCAGCCGUGCCGCGUGCAGGAUGAAGGCCUUCGGGUUGUAAACUGCUUGUGUACGGAACGAAAAGGUUUGGCCUAAUAAGCUGAGCUCAUGACGGUACCGUAAGAAUAAGCACCGGCUAACUACGUGCCAGCAGCCGCCGUAA
rnacentral:rRNA from 1 species